rnacentral:rRNA from 1 species
CCUACGGGAGGCAGCAGUGGGGGAUAUUGCACAAUGGGGGCAACCCUGAUGCAGCGACGCCGCAUGAGUGAAGAAGUAUUUCGGUAUGUAAAGCUCUAUCAGCAGGGAAGAAAAUGACAGUACCUGACCAAGAAGCCCCGGCUAACUACGUGCCAGCAGCCGCGGGAAUACGUAGGGGGCAAGCGUUAACCGGAUUUACUGGGGUUAAAGGGAGCGUAGGCGGUUAUGUAAGUCUGGAGUGAAAGCCCGGGGCCCAACCCCGGGACUGCUUUGGAAACUGUGUAACUUGAGUACAGGAGGGGCAGGCGGAAUUCCUGGUGUAGCGGUGAAAUGCGUAGAUAUCAGGAGGAACACCGGCGGCGAAGGCGGCCUGCUGGACUGAAACUGACGUUGAGGCUCGAAAGCGUGGGGAGCAAACAGGAUUAGAUACCCCUGUAGUC